rnacentral:rRNA from 1 species
GACGAACGCUGGCGGCGUGCUUAACACAUGCAAGUCGAACGGAAAGGCCCCUUCGGGGGUACUCGAGUGGCGAACGGGUGAGUAACACGUGGGUGAUCUGCCCUGCACUUUGGGAUAAGCCUGGGAAACUGGGUCUAAUACCGAAUAGGACCACGCGCUUCAUGGUGUGUGGUGGAAAGCUUUUGCGGUGUGGGAUGGGCCCGCGGCCUAUCAGCUUGUUGGUGGGGUAAUGGCCUACCAAGGCGACGACGGGUAGCCGGCCUGAGAGGGUGUCCGGCCACACUGGGACUGAGAUACGGCCCAGACUCCUACGGGAGGCAGCAGUGGGGAAUAUUGCACAAUGGGCGCAAGCCUGAUGCAGCGACGCCGCGUGGGGGAUGACGGCCUUCGGGUUGUAAACCUCUUUCAGUAUCGGCGAAGCUCCAGGAUUCUUCUUGGGGUGACGGUAGGUACAGAAGAAGCACCGGCCAACUACGUGC